GAGCAUCUCUCUGGAAGGCAGUGAAGCAUGGCCACGGGUGUGGAGUGUAUGCUGCUCCUGGGUUUGGCAUGUUGUGUUCUGAAUUGGUUAUUCCACUAGAGGCUUAGACUGAAAUAAAAACUCUCCACAUUUGUCCUGGUUCAGACUGGAAUAGAGGGGGGUAUGUUCCUUAUUUCUCAAAAGAAAUGCAUCCCGACAGGAAAGUUGCCAAGGAAUAUCAAAGAUGUAGAUGAGCCUUUGACUGAAUAAACACUGGAUAAGUUAGAUAUUUUUGGUUAGGAUGGAAAAACUGAGAAGUCAUUUGAUAGAUUAACAACAGCAAGAAGAAUAAAGAUGGAUUACUUGUUCCUAUACCAGAUAAAACUGUCAGAAGGCAGAGUCAAAACAAACAGGAGAUAUCUCACAAGCAUCAUUACAAUACAGAACUCCUCCCUUGUAUGCACAGAGGUUAACUUAAAAGAAGGAAAAGACAUCAGAGCAAAUUAAAUAUAAUGAUAAUAGCUACAGAUUAGACAGCUCUUGAAGAACAGAUUGUUGUAAGAUAGGAGAAUGUAAUAGGAAGUAUCAUGUCUAAUUUCUUGCUUGUAAUCCUCAGCAUCUGAUACUUGUCCACUGCCAGGGACAACAAAGUUGUCUGGAAGAUCUUGCUUAUUUCAGCUGGUCUAGUAUUCUUUACUGCACACUAAUUUCCCUUCCACCAUGAGGCAGAGUACAAUUUGAAUCUUGCAAAUAUUCACAAGGUUUGAUAGAAAUAUAUUCCAAGAUUUCAGAAAAACCCUGUUGAACUGAAAAAAAAAAAAAAAAAAAAAAAAAAAUCUCUUCCCAUUUUUUCUCUCUGCCAUUUUACAAACUUCAAAAAUUAAGCAUCCAGUUUUAUGUAUGACUCAUGGAAUACUGAAUAUAUCAGGGAAAGUGAUUACAAGUUUACUGCUCAUGAUGAAAUUAGUGACUUACUGUUGCAUAAAGUUUGACAAUCAGAAAUUCCACACAUACUUGUAUGCUUCAUAAGGAUUCUGUACACGAGCAGAUUUCUUGAACUUCAGAAAGCUGGCUAAUGUGUUACAACUUCUUUGCUUUCUACAACUACCUGAAAGGAGAUUGCAAUGAAGAGGAUGUUGAUCGCAGAUGACAAAUAAUAGAAUGUGAGGAAAUGGCCUCAAAAUGCAUGAAGGGAGAUUUAUAUUGGUAUCUGGAAGCAUCUCUUCAUCAAAAAAAUGAUUAGGAACAUGCUAUCCAUGCAAACAGUGAAAUCAUCAUCCUUAAUUUAAGAGAUGUGUGACCAUGGCACUCAUGGGCAUGAUUUAGUGGUGAGACUCUGUAGGUCAGAUUGAUGGUUAGACUUGAUGACCUCAAAAGCUGUUUCAACAUGGAUGAGUCUAUGAUUUGAUGACUCUAAUUAUUUUUCCUAAUUAAAUUUGGAUUAUCUUGUCAUUUUGAAAGUGUUGUGUCACUAAAUAAAGUAAAAAUAAUUUUCAUGCUUUUACAAUAUUACAUUUAAGGUUUUGUUGGACCCUAUCUUGUCUCUGGGUUUUAACAGUUUGUGUACAGUUUGCUAUUCAACAGCUUGUGUUGUUGGCCCAGUAGUGUUUGAUUUGGCCAUUGCUAUGAUUUCCUAUCUUUAUGGUGAAUUAGGAACUUUAUUUAGAUUUUAUGUAUGUCACUUUCCAUUAAAUUUAUAUAUCCAAGUAUCCUAUAUUAAAACACUGUAUGUCAGAUAUUUUAGUAGACCGCUUGAGAGGCAAAUUAUUUCCUUCUUAUAGAGAACAAGAAACACAUUCUGUGCAUGCUUUGGACAGUGCAAUACACUUUUUGAUAUGUUUAACUAAUUUCUUCUGAGUUCUCCGUACACCGACAGAUGUCAUAAAUACAUUUUAGAAAUAGAGUCACACAAAAGCAAGUAUUUGUAGUUAUAUUAAAUCCCCUCCCUGUCCAGUGUUUUUUGCUUGUGAAACUGAAGUAAACUGAGUAGCAUGAAUGAAACAAUAGUUUAGUGAUAGUGUAUAAAACAGUUUUCCAAUUUUCACCUCAUGUUAUUUUAAAUUCAUUUUCACAUUUCAUUUCCACAUGGAUUCAAGCAAAUGAAGUCUCUAACUUUCUCUCUAACUACUAUUAUCUGUCAAUUCUGCUUAAUCAUUAUCCUUUAUUGUAGUA
ensembl:lncRNA